rnacentral:rRNA from 1 species
UACGUAGGGACCAAGCGUUGUUCGGAUUUACUGGGCGUAAAGGGCGCGUAGGCGGCUCGGCACGUCCGUUGUGAAAUCGCCCGGCUCAACUGGGCGGGGUCGGCGGAUACGGCCGAGCUGGAGCAAGCUAGGGGGUAAUGGAAUUCCCGGUGUAGUGGUGGAAUGCGUAGAUAUCGGGAGGAACACCAGUGGCGAAGGCGGUUACCUGGAGCUUUGCUGAUGCUGAUGCGCGAAAGCGUGGGGAGCGAUCCGG